rnacentral:tRNA from 1 species
ACACUGUUGGCCGAGCGGAUUAGGCAAUCGACUCAUAAUCGUUUUUAGAUAGGUUCAACUCCUAUACGGUGUAC